rnacentral:lncRNA from 1 species
AAAACAUGCAUAAAUUGAAAACAGACACAUUGUAUUCGCAAACUCUACUAACCGAUAUAUGUAUUGUAAUAUUUUUAUCUUACAAUAAGAAUCUGAACAUAUACCGAUAGAUAUUAAAGCAUUUAUAUAGAGAUGAUCAUGUUUGUCGUAUCUAUAUAGUGGUAUGAAUUAGAAGAUUUUCAACCACAAAAAAAGACAAAACUUUUCUCUCUCUCGAGCGUGCAGACAGCGAACCCCAAGAACCCUAGCUCUGGCCGCCACUGCUAGGCGUCGCCGGAGGCAUCCCCUUCCUCUCCCUUUCUCGUUUUUCUCUUUGCUUUCAUCCUCCCCGGGCUUCUCUUGGUCGAUAUGCUCGCGAUUCUGUGCUGUUGAAGACCUCUCCCGGAGAUCUCUUGUGUUCGACGGAAAAGGUUUUUGGCAUUCAAUGGAGUGGCGACGAGAUCAAGGCGGAUCGGCGGAGAUGAGAGUCGGUUUUUAGAGUUGAAAAUUUCACAGAUCCAGAUUUCUCUCUUUUGAGAUCUACGGUGGAAGAUUCACGACGUCGGCGCGUGACGAGGUGUGACAUCUCCUUCAUAACAGAUCUACCUUGUCCCUGCGACGGUGAGACUGCUGGAGGAGUGCUGCGACGGGCGGUGGAAAGGGGCUCGUUCUUCGGUUCCCGGAGACGACGUGAGGCAUGAACUCUCGACGAAGGACUUGUCAACCGGAGUGGAGGUUUCUGCUAAUGAAGCACGGCGGAGCCGUACUUCCCAGCGUCGGUGACAUCCCGGCGGUAUGAGCUCUGCACCCUUGAAGUCGUAAUCUGGUGAUCCUUGCUCGCUUUCCGACGUCAAAACCUGCUUUUCAUUUCGGGCACUCAUGCCCGAUUUAUGGCUUAGGGUCGGAAUAGUGAUGUCAGAGGGACAGGAGCUUGGUCGGUAUGCGCCAGUGGGAUGGUCAUGUUAGUACAUGUGCUGAAAGCUUAUCAUUAGGAGACUAUAGGCGGUUUAAAAAUUGGAACUGGAUUACGCUUCGAGUCUCUUUGUGUUAUUACUAUUUUCGUACUUUGUGGUCAAAUUUAGUAGGGUCUAAGGAACGGCCAUCUCGUGUCGUGAGUUGGUGUCGUUUCCGAGUGGUGAAAAAUGCAGCGGCGUUUCAAAUUAGGUAGCGUAAGAUCCAAUUUAGUGAUCUUAGGUGUUACUAGAUUUCGUCGUUUGUAUGUUGGGUUUAACUUGUGUGGUUAUAAUCAUGUAUUCAUCGUUGGUUAAUGAAAGUUGAUGUUGAGCCAAAAAAAAAAAAAAUAUAGUGGUAUGAACACCAAGAUUCUCUAGCC